rnacentral:rRNA from 1 species
AUCACACGCUGGCGGCGUGCCUAACACAUGCAAGUCGAACGAGAAAGUGGAGCAAUCCACGAGUAAAGUGGCGCACGGGUGAGUAACACGUGACUAACCUACCCUUGAGUGGGGAAUAACCUAGGGAAACCUGGGCUAAUACCGCAUAAUACCCACGGGUCAAAGGAGCAAUUCGCUCGAGGAGGGGGUCGCGGCCGAUUAGUUAGUUGGCGGGGUAAUGGCCCACCAAGACGAUGAUCGGUAUCCGGCCUGAGAGGGCGCACGGACACACUGGAACUGAAACACGGUCCAGACUCCUACGGGAGGCAGCAGUGGGGAACCUUGCGCAAUGGGGGAAACCCUGACGCAGCAACGCCGCGUGGAGGAUGAAGUCCCUUGGGACGUAAACUCCUUUCGAUCGGGACGAUUAUGACGGUACCGGAAGAAGAAGCCCCGGCCAACUUCGUGCCAGCAGCCGCGGUAAUACGAGGGGGGCGAGCGUUGUUCGGAAUUAUUGGGCGUAAGGGUGCGUAGGCGGUCUGGUAAGUCUUGUGUGAAAUCUUCGGGCUCAACUCGA